rnacentral:rRNA from 1 species
AGGACGAACGCUGGCGGCGUGCCUAAUACAUGCAAGUCGAACGGCUUUUCUAUGGAAGCUUGCUUCCACUGAGAAGAUAGUGGCGAACGGGUGAGUAACACGUGGGUAACCUGCCCAUAAGAGGGGGGAUAACAUCCGGAAACGGGUGCUAAUACCGCAUAGUUUUCUUGAUCGCAUGAUCGGGAAAGGAAAGACGGCCUUUGUGCUGUCGCUUAUGGAUGGACCCGCGGCGUAUUAGUUAGUUGGUGAGGUAACGGCUCACCAAGACGAUGAUACGUAGCCGACCUGAGAGGGUGAUCGGCCACAUUGGGACUGAGACACGGCCCAAACUCCUACGGGAGGCAGCAGUAGGGAAUCUUCCGCAAUGGACGAAAGUCUGACGGAGCAACGCCGCGUGAGUGAAGAAAGGUUUUCGGAUCGUAAAACUCUGUUGUCAGAGAAGAACAAGUUGGAGAGUAACUGCUCCAGCCUUGACGGUAUCUGACCAGAAAGCCACGGCUAACUACGUGCCAGCCGCCGC